rnacentral:rRNA from 1 species
UACGAAGGGGGCUAGCGUUGCUCGGAAUCACUGGGCGUAAAGCGCACGUAGGCGGCUUUUUAAGUCAGGGGUGAAAUCCUGGAGCUCAACUCCAGAACUGCCUUUGAUACUGAGGAUCUUGAGUUCGGGAGAGGUGAGUGGAACUGCGAGUGUAGAGGUGAAAUUCGUAGAUAUUCGCAAGAACACCAGUGGCGAAGGCGGCUCACUGGCCCGAUACUGACGCCGAUGCACGAAAGCGUGGGGAGCAAACAGG